GAUGAACGCUGGCGGCGUGCCUAAUACAUGCAAGUCGAGCGAACAUACGAGGACCUUUCUCUUCAGACGUUAGCGGCGGACGGGUGAGUAAGACGUGGAUAACCUACCUAUAAGACUGGGAUAACGUCGGGAAACCGGAGCUAAUACCGGAUAAUAUAUUAAAACGCAUGGUUCAAUAGUGAAAGACGGUUUUGCUGUCACUUAUGGAUGGAUCCGCGCCGCAUUAGCUAGUUGGUAAGGUAACGGCUUACCAAGGCAACGAUGCAUAGCCGACCUGAGAGGGUGAUCGGCCACACUGGGACUGAGACACGGUCCAGACUCCUACGGGAGGCAGCAGUAGGGAAUCUUCGGCAAUGGGCGAAAGCCUGACGGAGCAACGCCGCGUGAGUGAUGAAGGUCUUCGGAUCGUAAAACUCUGUUAUUAGGGAAGAACAAGUGCGUAAGUAACUAUGCGCGUCUUGACGGUACCUAAUCAGAAAGCCACGGCUAACUACGUG
rnacentral:rRNA from 1 species